rnacentral:tRNA from 1 species
AGCCUUAUAGUCAAAAAUGAUUUGAAAUUGCAAAUUUUAAGGAGUAAUAUUAAAUUAUUAAGGCUU